rnacentral:rRNA from 1 species
AUUGAACGCUGGCGGCAGGCCUAACACAUGCAAGUCGAACGAGUGGCGGACGGGUGAGUAAUGUCUGGGAAACUGCCUGAUGGAGGGGGAUAACUACUGGAAACGGUAGCUAAUACCGCAUACCAUCGGAUGAGCCCAGAUGGGAUUAGCUAGUAGGUGGGGUAAAGGCUCACCUAGGCGACGAUCCCUAGCUGGUCUGAGAGGAUGACCAGCCACACUGGAACUGAGACACGGUCCAGACUCCUACGGGAGGCAGCAGUGGGGAAUAUUGCACAAUGGGCGCAAGCCUGAGGCAGCCAUGCCGCGUGUGUGAAGAAGGCUUUCGGGUUGUAAAGUACUGUUGUCAGGGAGGCGUUACCCGCAGAAGAAGCAACGGCUAACUACGUGCCAGCAGCCGCGGUAAUAC